UCUUGCGCACCGGGCAGAAGUUCACGACAUUGUACAUGGACACCUUGUCAAUCAGGUGCUUCC
rnacentral:ribozyme from 1 species